GGGGCUCUUAGGGAAUGCCGGUUGCAGGGCAGCUGCCAGGGCUUGGGUUUGGAGCUGAACUUUUUGUUUCAGGCUUGCCUGUCGUUGUACCUCAGCCGCCUCCUCUCAGGAAUUAAAAACUUUGAACGCCAGCUUUACUAAGUCCUGGAUAGGGGUUUGGGGGCCCUCCGCUGCCUCAUCCAGGAUUAGCAGAUAUCACUGCCCGCAGCGAAUGUGUUAGGAGUUGUAGAUGUAGUGGACUGGUAUGACACUAUGGGGAGGUGGAAAUAAGAAUGGGGGUAAGAUGGAAGCCAAGGAGUUAGCUGGGCAGGGUUAAAAGAACAAAUGGGAACUAACGGGAAUUAAAAUGGCGGCCGAAUGGCGGCAGAAGAACUAAAAUGGCGGCAGAGAAAAAAGGAAGUAAGAUGGCGGUGGUGAGGAAGCAGGUAGUAAGAUGGCGGCAGUGCAGAAGGAGAUGGCGGCGGAGAGACUAAGAUGGGGGCCCCCCCGGACAGGAUUAACGGCAAGAGAGGCCGGCCAGACUUCAAGGGGAAAGCUAGCCACAGGGACUUGUGCCAGCGAAAACACUUGGUGGCAGCAGUCCGACUAGAGCAGAGGUCCCAGAACCUUUGAAAAAAUUUGAUUUUUGACUAUUUGCCUUGCCUCUGACAAAAACUGGUAAGGUUGUUUAGGAUAUUGAAGUCGAGUGUGCCUUUGGGGGGCCAGCGAGAUUGGUUGUCCAAGGUAUAUUGCGGCCAGGCAACUGUGCAGAAGAAAAUUAGUCGCUUUCGUUUUAAAUUUUGGUUGAGUUAUAAAGUUGGAAGUUUGCGCAGGAGGCACCCUAAGGGGGUGUUUUGCGUGAUUUUGGACUGGGUGGACCCCAUCCUCUUCCCUUUAUGGCAGCGGUCUGAGGGACAGCAGAAGCAUCCUUCUGGGGUCACUCAGACCACGCGGCUCCUGGAGCCUCGGAUCGGCUACUUCAGACAUGGACGUCUCUGAGUCGUCAGUGCCAAUUUGGACUUCCCCUGGGGAAGUAAACUUGGGUCACCUGGUGACCCGGACUGGCCUUCCCUUGAGGAAGGAAACUCUCCCUGGGCGUGCGCAUGACUCUCGGCCAGGGAGGAACGGACAAAAGGAAAAAGGAGGGGUACUCACCUAGCGUCGGCCGAAUUGGACUGGAGUAGCUGCAGCAACUGCGACCUGGCAGCAAGUAACCAGACGAAAUGGAUGGAUGGCCGUGGAGGAGAAGCCUGACCUGACUGAGGGAGAGGACUGAUCCGACCAGGAGGGGAGUCCCCCUGAGCCUCUGGGGGGCCCGGGUUUCGGCGCCAACAAAAGGCAAUGGAAGGGCACCAUGGAUCAAUAAGGCCGAGAGGCCCAGAAUUUCUUGCCGUUUAUUACACUGUAAAGUGGGAGCAUACACAGAUGUGGAGUGAGGAAGAUAGCAAAGCCCUCUUAAACACAUGUUUGGAUCAUGGACAGACACAGGACUUCAUAAGAAGAGUUCACCAUGCAUGGCGUGGACACACUCCAAGGCUGUUCACACUGGCUUGUUUCCAAAUGGGUACAAAUCCCCUCUGCAUACCCAAGUGAAUGAUCAUCUCCAGUGCAGUGGCUGAGCUACGUGAUUCUCCCAUAACUGUCAUGUUGAUGGUAAAACAACCUGGAGAAAUGAGAAAAAGACUGGUUGGUUAUCAUUUCCUUCCAACUAUCCUUCACACUUCACUGCACCCAUGAGUAAAAUUUGUGUAAUGAAUGCACUGGGUCUGAGCAAUAUUGAUGCCACUGUGUACAAGAAAUAAUCAAGAAGUUAACAAAGCAACGAUGGCGUCUUUGGUAAGUACAGUGCUUAACUUCAGAAAUAAAAGUUGAAACACCAUGACGUCAAACGUUCCCAGCAAAAGCACUCAGAAAAAUGAGAGCACAAUGUUUCAGGGAAUGGAAGAAGACUGUUUUCCCUCUUAUGAGACACAGUCUGUUAAGAAAGGGAGAUUGUGAGUGCCUUCAUUUCAACUUCUUGGUCCCUCCCUUGGGGCUUGGGAUCUCCCAUGUCAAAUGGUCAGCCUGCAGGUAGGCCAGCUCUGUUCUGUGACCCUGGCUUCAAUUCAAGGAGCAAAGAAGUUGUCACUUCUUUUUGUUUCAAUCUCAGUCUCAAGCUUUGUUCUCCACACUACUUUGCCAUCAAAACAGCUGUUAUCCUAUUUCCAAUUUGACUCCGUUGUUUGUAUUUAUACUUCAGCAGUCAGAGAUCUAAAGGGGAGAAGAGAAUGAGGUAGGUAAAUGGUAGGAUGUGGGAUCCAAAGAUAGCCUAUCUUCAACAUCCUGCAAUAUUAAAGCUGGAAGAAGUGAAGCCUUCUUAUGUGAUGAGAAAAAUGCAGAUCAGCUGGGCGCAACAAGGUAUGCUCAGUCACACAGCAUGCCAGGGCGAGAGACACAAGUAGACGUCCGCACGACAGCACAGAGAGGGCAUUGCCACAGACACACUUCAGCCUAAUGAGAGGAGUCCAGGAUGAUGAACUCUUCAAUCUGGAUGAUGUACUUCUAUGGGCAACAUGUAAGAACAGAUCAGCUUUUGUGGUUGUUGAUUAACAUCGAGCUUAAUGCCGAACACAUUUAACUUGUCUAUGUCAUGCCUUCAAAGUCCUCAGAGACAUACACCAUCAACCUGAACAUUGAUUCUUAAUGUGAUGAAUUCUUUCCAUAAUAUAAUAAUAAUAAUAAUAGAACAGU